rnacentral:rRNA from 1 species
CGGAUCCGCGGCCGCUGCAGAGUUUGAUCCUGGCUCAGAAUCAACGCUGGCGGCAUGCCUAACACAUGCAAGUCGAACGAGAAAGUCCUUCGGGAUGAGUACAGUGGCGUACGGGUGAGUAACGCGUGGGUUAUCUACCUCUGGGUGGGGAAUAACUCGGGGAAACUCGAGCUAAUACCUCAUAAUACGUUUACGGUUAAAGCAGCAAUGCGCCUGGAGAUGAGCCUUCGUCCUCAUUAGCUAGUUGGCGGGGUAAUGGCCCCACCAAGGCGACGAUCGGUAGCCGGCCUGAGAGGGCGGUCGGCCACACUGGCACUGAAAUACGGGCCAGACUCCUACGGGAGGCAGCAGUGAGGAAUUUUGGGCAAUGGGCGAAAGCUGACCCAGCAAUGCCGCGUGAACGAUGAAGUCCUACGGGAU